rnacentral:rRNA from 1 species
UAGGGAAUCUUCGGCAAUGGACGGAAGUCUGACCGAGCAACGCCGCGUGAGUGAAGAAGGUUUUCGGAUCGUAAAGCUCUGUUGUUAGAGAAGAACGUUGGUAGGAGUAGAAAAUCUACCAAGUGACGGUAACUAACCAGAAAGGGACGGCUAACUACGUGCCAGCAGCCGCGGUAAUACGUAGGUCCCGAGCGUUGUCCGGAUUUAUUGGGCGUAAAGCGAGCGCAGGCGGUUCUUUAAGUCUGAAGUUAAAGGCAGUGGCUUAACCAUUGUACGCUUUGGAAACUGGAGGACUUGAGUGCAGAAGGGGAGAGUGGAAUUCCAUGUGUAGCGGUGAAAUGCGUAGAUAUAUGGAGGAACACCGGUGGCGAAAGCGGCUCUCUGGUCUGUACCUGACGCUGAGGCUCGAAAGCGUGGGGAGCAAACAGG